rnacentral:rRNA from 1 species
UACGUAGGGGGCAAGCGUUCGUCCGGAAUCAUUGGGCGUAAAAGAGCGUGUAGGCGGCCAGAAAAGUCCGCUGUGAAAACUCGAGGCUCAACUUCGAGCUGUCGGUGGAAACUUUUCUGGCUAGAGUCCGGAAGAGGAGAAUGGAAUUCCUGGUGUAGCGGUGAAAUGACGCAGAUAUCAGGAGGAACACCGGUGGCGAAGGCGGAUCUCUGGGCCCUUACCUGACGCUGAGGCGCGAAAAGCUAGGGGGAGCAAACGGG